GAAAGUCGUUUUAUUAUUCAAUCAUGAAUGUUUCUUUCAACCUGAUUUAUUAAUCCUGCCGAGAGGCCCGGCCUGUACAGUAGCGAGCUGGCAACAAAACCCCAUUGGGUGAACUGCUUUGCAACCCAUAUUUAAAUUUAUAUAAGCAGUCGGAUUGAUUCAGGAUGAGCUAGAAUAUGAUUGAUUCCCAUCUUCUGAUUAUUUGGGUGACUGGAUGCUUUUUGAUAACAAGGUAAGAGCACAUAGAACUACAUACAUGUAUAUAUAUACUGUGAUGACCCCAUUCACUUAUAUGCUUCCUCUGUAGCUUGAGAUGGUGUCUUCUUAUGUCACAACCAAUACAAUAGUUUAUGUCCUUCUUGUCUUUCAUUAAUUGUUGGAGGAUUUCUUCUGUUUCCAGAACAUUUUUGUUUGUCAAGUCUCUUCCCCCUCUUCUUUAUUUUUUGUUUAGCUGUGUAGGGGCAUUUCUAGGUAUUACUGCACACAUGAUUGAUUUGGGGCAGCCAUCAUACCUGCCAACCACUCCGAUUUAGGCGGAGUUACUCCGCUUUUUUCAUACCCACUCCGAAUUCCGAUUGCAUGCCUCAAAACUCCGAUUUUUUGUAAUUUUAAAAUAUUUUUAAAACAAACGACUGUUGCAUAAGACUAAAGCAUAACACAGCACUGAUAACCAGAUCACGCCUUACGGGGAAACGAUAAACAUAAGUACUUUAUAUAGCGAAUGCCGCCUUAUCACAUAGCCUCCGCACACAGCGCUGCAUGUCGCACGCAUUCACUCAUAGGUUCACUGAAUUUGACUACACUGGAUAGACACUUUCGCGCACAUGGUCCGUCCGCCGCCAUCUUGUUUAAUUCCAAAACAACACGGCCGCUACGUAUGCUACGUGCGUUCGUGCCUUUUGAGGGGAGCAUGGGGGUAGAUGAUCGUGCGCAUGGCGCCCGCAAUAUAGUAGCGAAGACUUCGGUGAUUCAGCGGGCGCAUUGCAAGUGCAGUGCGGUAUACGAUGUGUUGUUGUUCAUGAACGCCGGGCCUAGCGGCCUGGGCUGUAUGGUGUGUCUGUGGUACUGGUGAGUGUACGUGUGCGUGUGUAGAAUACGAGCUCUGCCAUUUGACUGUGGAUUCGAAUUUGCCAUUCGACGCUUGAACAAGGUGUUUUCUUCCUGAAUAUUAUCAUGGAUUCACUCAAAAGAGCGAGUACCCGAGAAGGAGAUCCUUUGACUGGAAACAGAUUUUUAAAAACGUUUUUAUGCACAUCUUUAUUUUGGACUUGAAUAUGGUAGGUUCGAAAUUCAGUAAGAGUGAUUGGGUGUUUGUGUACGUUUUGCGCGAAAAUUAUGCUGCGGUGUCUUGCGUUACGGAAAGACCCCCAUUUGUUACGGACAAAUAUGGUAAAUGUUACUGACAGCCAUCCUAUAGGGUUGGCAUCUCUGCCCCCCCCCCCAAUCUACGGGCUACUACCCCAAUCCUUCGGUGGUUCGCGACCUCGUAGUCCAUCCAGAAAAAUUUACUCCUAAUUUCUCUUGUCUCAGGUUGGCAGGUAUGAGCCAUGUGUUUGAUUGUAUUAUAGCAAUGAUGUCAAUUAUGCUACAGACAGAAAAUCUAAAUUUUUAAUAAAAGCUUGCUGUCCGUUGGAACAUUAAUGCCACAAUUUGAAUAUUCACUAAGGCUGCAACGAUUUCUCGAAUACUCGAGUACUCGCACUGUUGACAACUACUCGAAUACACGGUUGCCAUUUUUUUCUUCUCCACAUGGCACUGUGCCGGCGGGCCGAAGCUCUCCCGUGCCCGGAGAAGCACCGGCAGGGUACCGUGAGUAAAAUGUCCAGAUUUCUGUUUGAACUUGGAGGACAAUUUGUCUGUCAUCUUUAGUUUUAAAAACAACAUUGUUACUAUUAUUUGUGAGAAGUUCACAAGCACAAAUCAACGCCUUCAAUUGCAACUCGCAGUAAAAUAGCAUGGUUUUCGUAGCCGUAUUAUGCUUCCUACAACAUCGGCAAAAAAAAAAA
rnacentral:lncRNA from 1 species